rnacentral:rRNA from 1 species
AUGGAUGGGGGGAAAGAUAAGAUCAAAUGGACCCUCACUGCUGAUAAAAAAUUCUCUGUUAAAUCUUUAUACAAAGAAUUGAUUACGCCAGGCCUGAAAUUUCCACAGAAAUACCUUUGGAAAGUCAAAGUUCCUGCAAAAAUUAAAGUCUUCUUGUGGUUAGUAAAUAAGAAGAGUAUUUUGACUAGGGAUGUCUUACUCAAAAAAGGAUGGAAAGGGGGGAAAGAAUGUGUGUUCUGUGGACAAGAUGAAUCUAUGGAUCAUCUGCUGUUCACAUGCUCUGCGGCUUCUUUGCUUUGGAGCUUGGUCAGAUGUGUUUGUGGUCUGAAAACCAUUCCUUUAAAUGUUAAAGAAUGUUUUGGGGGAUGA